rnacentral:rRNA from 1 species
UACGAAGGGGGCUAGCGUUGCUCGGAAUCACUGGGCGUAAAGCGCACGUAGGCGGGUCUUUAAGUCAGGGGUGAAAUCCUGGAGCUCAACUCCAGAACUGCCUUUGAUACUGAAGAUCUUGAGUUCGGGAGAGGUGAGUGGAACUGUGAGUGUAGAGGUGAAAUUCGUAGAUAUUGGGAAGAACACCGGUGGCGAAGGCGGCUCACUGGCUCGUAACUGACGCUCAUGCACGACAGCGUGGGGAUCAAACAGG